UACGAGGGGGGCAAGCGUUGUUCGGAAUUAUUGGGCGUAAAGGGUGCGUAGGCGGUCUGACAGGUCUGAUGUGAAAUCUAUGGGCUCAACCCAUAGUCUGCAUCGGAAACUGUCGGGCUUGAGUAUGGGAGAGGUGAGUGGAAUUUCCGGUGUAGCGGUGAAAUGCUUAGAUAUGACAUAGAACAUCGAUUGCGAAGGCAGCUCGCUACACUAUGAUUGACACUGAGGCACGAAAGCGUGGGGAUCAAACAGG
rnacentral:rRNA from 1 species